rnacentral:tRNA from 3 species
CAAAGUGUAGCUUAAUUAAAGCAUCUGGCCUACACCCAGAAGAUUUCAUUAUUUAUGACCACUUUGA